AUACGGAGGAUGCAAGCGUUAUCCGGAUUUAUUGGGUUUAAAGGGUGCGUAGGCGGUUUGCUAAGCGGGAGGUGAAAUGCCGGCGCUCAACGUCGGAAGUGCCUCCCGAACUGGUGGACUUGAAUGACUCUGCCGUGGGAGGAAUGUGUAGUGUAGCGGUGAAAUGCUUAGAGAUUACACAGAACACCGAUUGCGAAGGCAUCUCACGAAGGGUUGAUUGACGCUGAGGCACGAAAGCGUGGGGAUCAAACAGGAUUAGAUACCCUGGUAGUCCACGCAGUAAACGAUGACGGCUAACCGCUGGGCUUAUCAGUUCAGUGGCCAAGCGAAAGCGAUAAGCCAUCCACCUGGGGAGUACGACCGCGAGGUUGAAACUCAAAGGAAUUGACGGG
rnacentral:rRNA from 1 species